GGCAGCCGCACUGCCCUCCGCACUGGGGACCGAGGCCAGCGGCCAGGGCCCGGACGCCUGCGCUCGGGGGCCCCGCAGACCCGCGGCCCGCACGCACCCAGCUCUGCCCCCGGCCCGCGCCUCUGGCCGCGCCUCCCGCCUCGCCCGCCCGCUCCGGGAUGGGUUAGGGACGGCGCCUCUGAGCGGGGCGAUGGGCCGCCCUCUGGGCUCCGAGCAGCCCCCCAGGCCUGACCUGCCCGAAGGCCGGUGGAGGUGGAUGUGCGCCUGGGGAGCUCGCACUGGGGGCGCCAGGAGCUCCGCCUGGAUGUGAAGCGCAUGCCCCAGUGCCCCCCAGCGGACUCGGUGGGACCAUGGCUUCCCUGAUGCCCCUCUCGUCAUCUCUCCUCAUAUCUGAGCCCCAGAUAUGAGCUGCUGGUCAGCUGUGACCUGGGCUUCCUGUGAGCAGUGAGUGAGAGGAAUGUGAGGUCACUCACCCCCAAGCCAACUCGGCCACUGUGUCCUUGGACGUCCCAGAAGGCAGCAUCUUCAUUGGCUACUCCGUUUCCCAGCAAACUGCGGUGAUCAACUGGAGUCCUCGAAGAAGCAUCUGGGUAGAGGCGAAGCCCAAGGAGAUUGCCAACUUACACACCGUCACUGCCUUGGCCUGGAAGCGGGCGGGAUGCCUCAGGACUCUGCACAGGCACACUCUGUGGUGCAGUGGAACAGUCUGACUGCUGCCUCCGAAGGAGCAUUUACAGGAAUAAGUUUGAGCUGACCUGUGUGGGACCCAGGCAGGAUCAACCACUGUGGACAAAUGGCAUCCAACAAUGUCACCAUCUCCAUCAUCGCCACCAUCAUCACCAUAACCAGGAUCAUGAAUUGCUGGACACCCACUAUAAGCCAGCUCUAGGGCUAAGGAGGUCUCUGCCCCAGAUCUCCUUGUCAAUGACGGGCUUCUGGACCCUUUAUUCCAUAAUCAGGCUCAUUGGCAUUUGGGAAAGCAGCAGAAGGAGGGAGGCACUCAGCAUCGGCCGGCAGGCAGAGCUCUGA
rnacentral:lncRNA from 1 species